rnacentral:rRNA from 1 species
CCCAAGGGUUUGGCUGUUCGCCAAUUAAAGCGGUACGCGAGCUGGGUUUAGAACGUCGUGAGACAGUUCGGUCCCUAUCCGUCGUGGGCGCAGGAGUUUUGAGAGGAGCUGUCCCUAGUACGAGAGGACCGGGAUGGACCGACCACUGGUGUUCCAGUUGUCUCGCCAGAGGCAUCGCUGGGUAGCUAUGUCGGGACUGGAUAACCGCUGAAAGCAUCUAAGCGGGAAGCCAACCUCAAGAUGAGAACUCCCAGGGUUUAUCCCUCUGAAGGCCCCUCGUAGACCACGAGGUUGAUAGGCUGGGUGUGUAAGCGUCGGAAAAGGCGUUUAGCUAACCAGUACUAAUAGGCCGUGAGGCUUGACCUCUCAU